GUCGGGAAUAUUGCGCAAUGGAGGAAACUCUGACGCAGUGACGCCGCGUGCAGGAAGAAGGUUUUCGGAUUGUAAACUGCUUUAGACAGGGAAGAAACAAGACAGUACCUGUAGAAUAAGCUCCGGCUAACUACGUGCCAGCAGCCGCGGUAAUACGUAGGGAGCAAGCGUUAUCCGGAUUUAUUGGGUGUAAAGGGUGCGUAGACGGAGAAGCAAGUUAGUUGUGAAAUCCCUCGGCUCAACUGAGGAACUGCAACUAAAACUACUUCCCUUGAGUGCUGGAGAGGAAAGUGGAAUUCCUAGUGUAGCGGUGAAAUGCGUAGAUAUUAGGAGGAACACCAGUGGCGAAGGCGACUUUCUGGACAGUAACUGACGUUGAGGCACGAAAGUGUGGGGAGCAAACAGGAUUAGAAACCCUAGUAGUCC
rnacentral:rRNA from 1 species